UGGGGAAUUUUGGACAAUGGGGGAAACCCUGAUCCAGCCAUCCCGCGUGUGCGAUGAAGGCCUUCGGGUUGUAAAGCACUUUUGGCAGGAAAGAAACGUCAUGGGUUAAUACCCCGUGAAACUGACGGUACCUGCAGAAUAAGCACCGGCUAACUACGUGCCAGCAGCCGCGGUAAUACGUAGGGUGCAAGCGUUAAUCGGAAUUACUGGGCGUAAAGCGUGCGCAGGCGGUUCGGAAAGAAAGAUGUGAAAUCCCAGAGCUCAACUUUGGAACUGCAUUUUUAACUACCGGGCUAGAGUGUGUCAGAGGGAGGUGGAAUUCCGCGUGUAGCAGUGAAAUGCGUCGAUAUGCGGAGGAACACCGCUGGCGAAGGCAGCCUCCUGGGAUAACACUGACGCUCAUGCACGAAAGCGUGGGGAGCAAACAGG
rnacentral:rRNA from 1 species